UACGUAGGGUGCGAGCGUUGUCCGGAAUUAUUGGGCGUAAAGAGCUUGUAGGCGGUUUGUCGCGUCUGCCGUGAAAAUCCGAGGCUCAACCUCGGACUUGCGGUGGGUACGGGCAGACUAGAGUGUGGUAGGGGAGACUGGAAUUCCUGGUGUAGCGGUGAAAUGCGCAGAUAUCAGGAGGAACACCAGCGGCGAAGGCGCUGCUCUGGGCCGGUACUGACGCUGAGGAGCGAAAGCGUGGGGAGCGAACAGG
rnacentral:rRNA from 1 species